UCAUAUUAUUCAAAACUGAUAAAACUAAAUGAUAGUUCAAACACUUCUCAUCGGUAAUUAAAACAAAAAUAAUAAUUCAUAAUACUAUUUACAUUGUCAAAAUCCAAACUUAAUUAAACCAAGGUAAUAGUGGAGCGUUUAAGACAUCAAAUCAAAACUGAAAGAAAAGCCUCGCAAACAAGCAAGGCAUACCGACCAGAAUUGAAGAAGCGGAAACACUCACAAAGUCCAACUGCUAUCAGAAACUAAGAACCUGAAAUAAUAUUAAGAAUAAGAGGUGAGUUCAACCAACUCAGUGACGGAAUAAUAAUUAAUAUACAUUUCAGAUAUUUAAAAUAUUAAUAGUUUGCAAGAUGAUUUAUCUUGAUAUACAUAUACAUAUACAUACUAAACAUAUUAUCAUAACGUAGUGGAAUACAUGUCAGAGAUCAGAGGACACCCAAAGGUGACCAGAUGACACUCGUCGGUGACCACUGUGGGAUGAUCAGUCGCCACAGGCUGAUGCCUCUCUCACCAGCUAGGUAUACAUAAUACUAUGUGCACACAGGCUAACUACUCUCCGUUAGCAUGGAGUUGCUGACAAGUCCCAUAUCAAGGCAUAACAAAUAUUCACAUAAUCCUCAAAGAAACGUAUAUCAUAUCAAAUAGAAUUUACUUUGUCAGAUUGCGAGUGCAAAUUCAAGAAUAAAUGAGUACUCGGAAAAUAAAGCAACAUAUAUAAAUAUUCAAGAAAUUUACUAGUUGUACUCAUUGUAUAAUCAACAUACAUAUUUAUUUAUAUUAUAUGCAUAUUAAAGAUUAUUCCACUCACUUGACUCAAAAGCAAACAAAAGUCAAAAGCAGACACCGAAGAAAAUCCUACUAAUGUCCUGCCAGUAGAAUAUCAGGAUUCUCUGAAUACAAAGGAGACAUAUUCAAAGACGACUCGAAUAUGCUUAGGUCGAAGGAUAUAACUUCAGUGAAAGUGAAAUGGAAAGGUCAUUCAUGUGAGGAAGCGACAUGGGCGCUCGAGAAUAAGAUGCGUGAGGAGUAUCCUCAUCUUUUCAAUAAUCUCGGUAAGUAUUCAAUAUUUUCUAUUAAGUUUUGAGGACGAAACUUUUAUAAGGUGGGAGAUUAUGAUGUUUUGUAUUAAGAAGAUAGGAAAUGGCAACAAAGCCCUUGGUGGCUUAAAGAGUGAGUAAAAUUUGAAUAAGAGUACUAUGGUAAUUGAAUAAAACUUGAUAAAAAAAAAAAAAAAAAAGGCUCUGAUUUUGAGAGAAAGAGGGUUACGGGAGAAGAGAAGAAAAGGGGAAGAAGAAGAAGAGAAAAGAGGGAAAGAUAAGGGAAGGAGAAGAGAGUUGAAGGAAAUAAGUUUAAAGGUAAGAUUAUGUAUAAAUAUGUGUUAAUUAAGCUUUAAUUUUCGGUUUUGAUUAAUUUUAGAGUUAUGAAGUUUGUGUUUUGAGUUUAUUGAUGAAUUAAUUUGAAGGUUAGGGGUUGAUUGUUGUGGGUAAUUGAUUAUUAAGUUGAAUUUGAGAGAUUGUAGAUAAAAAUAAUGAUUUUGAGUUAUGAUUUUGUUUGAAUGGUGAAUUUGUGUUAGAAAUCAGGGGAUAACAGUAGGUGAUCUGUUGAAAUUUUGGGUUUGAGGUUGAAGAUGACGAAAAUUCAGUUUGGUCCCUCAAUUUACGAAAGUUACAGUUUAGCCCCCAAACUUUGGAAAAUUACAAAUUGGUCCCUGGAGCAUAUUCCGAGAUUCUGAACAGAAUAACAUAUGAAUUAUGGACAGAAUUACUGUAUAGAUAAGAGAAGGUCAAAAGCAAACAAAAGUCAAAAGUAUAAUUUAACACUUUCAAUUUAGUCCUCCAAUUUGACAAAAAGUAUAAUUUGACCCUAAAAAUUUGGUAAAUUUCCAGAAUGGUCCCUAGAGCAUAAUGAUAUAUCCUGGACAGAAUUGAGGAUUAAUUAUAGUCAGAAUUUCAGUAUAUUCAUGGAUUUAUGAUAAAUUUCAGUUUGGUCCUCCAACUAGACAAAAAUUACAAUUUGGCCCUAAAAGUAUAAUAAAGUACAGAUUAGUCCCUAGCUGUAAUAUUAGCUUUUUCAGAUUAGUUUUUAUGAAUAAUUAAGGGUUACUUAGUGAAAUAUUACCGAUUUUAUUAACUGUUUAAUUAUGGAUUAGAUUUCGAGAAAACCGUUAGAUUUUAGGUUUUUGAGAAAAUUGACUAGUUAGUUCAAAAACAUAUAGGGUUAUGGAAUACACACUUAGUUAAGUGUAUUAAAUAGGUUAAAUAUUCUUUCGAGUCGUUUUUGAAUAUGUCCCCUUUGUAUUCAGAGAAUCCUGAUAUUCUACCGGUAGGACGUCAGUAGGAUUUUCUUCGGUGUCUGCUUUUUACCUUUGUUUGCUUUUGAGUCAGGUGAGUGGAAUAAUCUUUAAUAUGCAAAUAUAGUGUGUAUUCAGUAACAAAAGUCAAAAGCAAACGCCGUAGAAAAUCUUAUUAACAUCCUCCCGGUAGAAUAUCAGGAUUCUCUGAAUACAAAGGAGACAUAUUCAAAAACGACUCGAAAAAACAUUUAACCUAUUUAAUACACUUAACUAAGUGUGUAUUCCGUAACCCUAUAUAUUUUUGAACUAACUAGUCAAUUUUUUCAAAAACCUAAAAUCUAACGGUUUUCUCGAAAUCUAAUCCAUAAUUAAACAGUUAAUAAAAUCGGUAAUAUUUCACUAAGUAACCCUUAAUUAUUCAUAAAAACUAAUCUGAAAAAGCUAAUAUUACAGCUAGGGACUAAUCUGUACUUUAUUAUACUUUUAGGGCCAAAUUGUAAUUUUUGUCUAGUUGGAGGACCAAACUGAAAUUUAUCAUAAAUCCAUGAAUAUACUGAAAUUCUGACCAUAAUAAUCCUCAAUUCUGUCCAGGAUAUAUCAUUAUGCUCCAGGGACCAUUCUGGAAUUUUACCAAAUUUUUAGGGUCAAAUUAUACUUUUUUCAAAUUGGAGGACUAAAUUAAAAGUGUUAAAUUCUCUUAUCUAUACAGUAAUUAUGUCCAUAAUUCAUAUGUUAUUUUGUUCAGAAUCUCGGAAUAUGCUCCAGGGAUCAAUUUGUAAUUUUCCAAAGUUUUGGGGACUAAACUGUAACUUUCGUAAAUUGAGGGACCAAACUGAAUUUUCGUCAUCUUCAACCUCAAACCCAGAAUUUUUCACAGAUUACCUACUGUUAUCCCCUGAUUUCUAACACAAAUUCACCAUUCAAAGAAAACCAUAACUCAAAAUCAUCAUUUUUCUCUACAAUCUCUCAAAUUCAACUUAAUAAUCAAUUACCCACAACAAUCAACCCCUAACCUUCAAAUUAAUUCAUCAAUAAACUCAAAAUACAAUCUUCAAAACUCUAAAAUUAAUCAAAACCAAAAUUAAAGCUUAAUUAACACAUAUUUAUACAUAAUCUUACCUUUAAACUUAUUUCCUUCAACUCUCUUCUCCUUCCCUUAUCUUUCCCUCUUUUCUCUUUUUCUUCUUCCCCUUUUCUUCUCCUCCCGUAACCCUCUUUCUCUCAAAAUCAG
rnacentral:lncRNA from 1 species